GGUGUAUGGACCGUGUUUCAGUUCCAUUGUGGGGGACCACCCUCUCAGGUCCCCUACCCGUCUUCGUCUUGGUGGGCCGUUACCCUCACCAACUAACUGAUGGGCCGCAGGCCCCUCCCAAAGUAAAUUUCUCUUUUACUUAACCCUCUCUAACUAGGCUAAGCUUAUUCGGUUUUGCCACCCGUUUCCAGGUGAUAUUCCCAUCUUUGGGGCAGGUCACCAACGUGUUACUCACCCGUUCGCCACUACAGUAUUGCUACUGCCGUUCGACUUGCAUGUAUUAGGCACGCCGCCAGCGUUCAUC
rnacentral:rRNA from 1 species